rnacentral:rRNA from 1 species
UACGUAGGGUGCGAGCGUUGUCCGGAAUUACUGGGCGUAAAGAGCUCGUAGGUGGUUUGUCGCGUUGUCCGUGAAAACUCGCAACUCAAUUGUGGGCGUGCGGCGAUACGGGCAGACUGGAGUACUGCAGGGGGAGACUGGAAUUCCUGGUGUAGCGGUGGAAUGCGCAGAUAUCAGGAGGAACACCGGUGGCGAAGGCGGAUCUCUGGGGCCUUACCUGACGCUCAGGCGCGAAAGCUAGGGGAGCGAACAGG